CAGAGUUGGGCGAUCGAAGGUUCUCCCAUAAAAACGGCGUUGCUUUGCUGCUCUUUGCCUCCGCUCGCUGCUGCAGAUCUCAGAGCUUACCUCCACGGCCGGCGAUGGAGAGGGAGAUGAGCUGCUCCCCGUCCAAUGUCGCCGGAUCCGUCGCAAAGCUCGCGUCUUUGGCCCUUCCCUUCCUGCUCUUCCUGGUCUUGUCGUCUGUGAUUCCUUCCACAGAAGCUUAUGAUGCACUGGAUCCAAAUGGAAAUAUAACAAUCAAGUGGGAUGUUAUCCAGUGGACUCCAGAUGGUUAUGUUGCUGUUGUGACGAUGUUCAAUUUCCAGCAAUAUCGUCACAUCCAAGCACCUGGAUGGACUCUUGGGUGGAUGUGGCAAAAAAAGGAGGUCAUUUGGUCUAUGGUGGGAGCGCAGACCACUGAGCAGGGUGAUUGCUCACGCUUUAAGGGAGGCAACCUUCCGCAUUGCUGCAAGAAAGACCCAACAGUUGUUGAUCUCCUUCCUGGAACACCUUACAAUAUGCAAAUCGCCAAUUGCUGCAAAGGAGGGGUGAUUAACUCAUGGGUUCAGGAUCCAGCUAACUCUGCAAGUUCAUUCCAGAUUAGUGUUGGUUCAUCAGGAACCACCAACAAGACCGUUCGUGUGCCCAAAAACUUCACCCUAAAGGCUCCAGGGCCCGGGUACACAUGUGGGAUAGCCAAGAUUGUAAAGCCUACUAAGUUUGUUACACAAGAUGGUAGGAGAACAACCCAAGCUCAGAUGACAUGGAAUGUUACAUGUACAUACUCUCAGUUUCUCGCUCAGAAGACUCCUACCUGCUGUGUAUCACUUUCAUCUUUCUAUAAUGAUACUAUUGUUAACUGUCCUACAUGUACAUGUGGGUGCCAGAACAAUGCAACUCAACCUGGGAGCUGUGUAGAAGCUGAUUCGCCUUAUUUAGCCUCUGCAGUUAAUGGUCCUGGCAGAUACAGCAACACACCUUUGGUGCAAUGCACAACGCAUAUGUGCCCUAUAAGAGUUCACUGGCAUGUGAAACUUAACUAUAAGGAUUAUUGGCGAGUGAAGAUUGCAAUAACAAAUUUCAACUAUCGGAUGAACUAUACACAGUGGAACCUUGUUAUCCAGCACCCUAACUUUGACAAUAUCACUACAAGUUUUAGCUACAAUUACAAAUCAUUGACCCCAUAUGGAGGCAUAAAUGAUACUGCAAUGCUUUGGGGUGUUAAAUACUACAAUGACUUCCUCAUGGAAGCUGGACCUUACGGAAAUGUACAGUCUGAAAUUUUAUUCAGAAAGGAUCCAUCAACAUUUACCUUCCAUCAAGGCUGGGCUUUCCCACGUCGAAUCUACUUCAAUGGUGACAAUUGUGUCAUGCCUUCUCCAGAUUCAUAUCCGUGGUUACCUAAUGCUUCCUCACAGUUGAAGAGCACAUUGUUGAUAUUCCUUUUUGCUGCUUUGACUUGGUUGCUAAUCAAUGUCUAGUAAGAAACUUGAGUCUAUGAGAUUUUGUGUGUUCUUGCGCAAAUCUUCUGGAAGUGGAUGCUGGUUUCAACAUUAAGAAGGAUCUGAGGUUUUCAGAAGAAGCAUCAGGACUAGUGAGUCAUGAAAAUUAUGAAUACCUCCGAACAUGAGAGAUUUUGCAGCCAUGUUUCUUUAACAUGCCAUCCAUAGUGAAGGAAUAAGGGAGCAACCACAAAAGGUAGAAGCGGUUUUAUCUUAGCAGUGAUCCACAGAGAUUGGGAACUUCCUGGAAUUAGCUAAUCAUUAUCGAAGAAUUAUUGAAGAUUUGUGGAGGAUUUCUUGAAGAUCACUACGCUUUUGGCUCGUCUCACCCAGAAGAAUGCCAAAUUUAUUAGGGCAACAAGUGCAAAUAAAGUUUUCAAAAGCUUAAGAAAUAGACUGAGAUCUAACUAUGAUCUGGUGAAACCCUCUGGUGCAUAAGGCUAUGUGAUGUAUAUUGAUGCUUCAACUCAUGUGCUUGGUUGAGUCUUAUUGCUACACGACAAACUAGUUGCUUAUGCUUCUGAUCAACUAAAGGUUUGUGAGCAAAAUAACCCCACCCAUGAGUUCGACUUGAGCAAUAAUCUUUGCUCUAAACAUAUGGAGACAUUAUGAUAGACCUUUUAAAUUCACCAACCAAAACACAAAAUUCUCAAAUGUGUCUUUAAUUAGAAUCAACUAAAUAUGGGGCAAAGAAUGUGGUUGGGUUGCCUCAUGUU